rnacentral:lncRNA from 1 species
CAAUAAUCCUUUGGCUAUUCCUCCAAUAAUAUUAUAUCUUUGUCCCCAAUCCAAUUGUUGUCUCUUGAUGGGAUCUUAAUGUAAUUAACAUUGAUCAAUUAAUUCAUACAUAUGUAAUUAAGUAAAUCAAAAUAUACCUUUCAAAAUCGUAUCAAGACUUUUGUUGUGGAUAUAUUCAUAAAUCAGCAAUUUCUCAUCAUUUUCCAAACAAAAACCCAAAAUUCGAACAAGAUUUCUGUGUUGCAAUUUAAUUAGAAGUGAUAUCUCAUUUUUAAAUUCUUGAAUUCCUUGUUUUGAAUUUGAUGAAAGUCUCUUCACCGCAAUAUAUCGUCCAUCUGCUAGUGUACCCUGCUUUUAUAUAUAUGAAAAAUGAGAAAUAUAUAGCCAGAACCAAAAUUAUAAGAAGUAAACUAGCUUAAUUAAUAAUUAAUUACCUUAUAGACGGAACCAAAUCCACCUUCGCCUAAUUUAUUUGCUUCUGAGAAAUUAUCAGUAACAAGCUUGAUCGUUGCCAAAUCAAAUAUCCGAGAUUCAUUGUCUAAAAUUUCCAUCGAAUCAGAGGCUUUUUCUGGUGAUUUUAGAAAAAAUGGUGAAUAUAUAUAUGCAUGUAGGUUAAAUCAAUAGUUAAACAAAUAUAUUUUAAAUUAGCUUCAAAAAAAUAUAUUUUUUUAAUUAAUUACCGUAAUUUCUUGUCUUCUUUCUCUUAAUACGACAAAAACAACAAAAUAAAAAGAGAACGGUAAGCCCUCCAAUUGGAACUAAAAUUGCAACUGCAAUAAUGGUUGUUUUUGAAUUCUUCUUUUUUCGCGUAUCUGCAUGUGUUUCCAAUAAUAAUACAAAUGUAAAUUAAUGAGAGUUAAUUUAUCCUUUUGUUGAAACUUGGAAUAAUUAAUUAAUUAAAAAGUCAGAUAGUCAGUCAAAUUAAAGAAACUCAUUCACAAGUUGCUUACCUGAAGCUCCUUCAUCUCCUCGGUCUGGUGGUGGUGCUUGUUGAAGAGGUAUAGAUCCUUUAUAGAAAGUAGCUGACUCGUAUCUCGUAAAACAACUCCCAGACAGAAUUCUAGCUCCUAUCUUCCCGUUUAAAUAUUUUGGGAUGUAUUGCAACUGAUCGAUCAAGCACUUGUUGCAGUCAUCUUCAGACAGAUCUCUGGUGCACUGGACAAGUCCAUAGAUAGUUUGGAAAGGCAGAUAACUGGUUUCGUUUACAGCAAACAACAAUGGGUAAGACAACUGUCUUGGUCCAUAAGCUGCACGCUUGAUGAUUUCAUCCAGCAGUAUUUCCAAUUUUUGGUUAAAUAGAGUCGUAUUUGUAACGUUGUUCACAUUGUAAGGGAAACCUGUAGAUUUUGCAACUUUUCCAAAGAAGUUCUCAUCGGAGUAUCGCACAAGACACUCAUCUUCCCUGCAAAAAAAAUAAACAAAAGAGAAGGUUGAGGAUAUUCAAAUAUUGAAGAUCAGAGAGUUAAUAUCUAAUAUUCAUCUACCAUAUGACGGCAGCUUUGUUGUUCGGGCACUUUUGAACGAUCUGUUCAACCGAAGUGUUAAGACAAGGUCGGCAGUCUGCCGGAGAAACAUCACCUCUGCACAUGGCAAGACCGUAGACUCGAUCUGAGCCAAGACCUUUGGUAUCAUUGAAAAAUCCAGUGGUGGUAGUGUUGGAAGACAGUGAUUGGAGGAUGAGUUGCAGAUUUGCGUCGAAAGUGGUGUUGGCGGUGUAGUUGCUUUUACUUGUAUCACAUGUUUGGUACUGGUACGCAGCAACCAGUGAAGAAAGAGGAAGAAGAAAGAUAAAAGAUGACAAUAAUUGAAGGAAAAAAGACAUGCCACACACUCUUACAAACCCCUUUUGUGAUUCUCUUGUAAAAACAAUUGGAUCUAAGUCUUAAAUCCAAUUGUUCUGGAUGGAUGGAUGGAUUUGGUGAUGAAGAUCGGAUUACACGUUAUAGGGUGUUACGAUGAAGAUCCAACACGGGCGGAUCUUCGGUCGGACGCGAGAUGGGGGAUCGGAAAUCGUCGAGUGACUUCUGAUUGGGUCUUUGCAGAUGAUAAUCUUGCUCGAAUCCCCAAAAUAAUUGAAAUCUCUGGUUAGAAUCUUGCAAACUAACAUCACACAUGACACAACUAAUAAAGAAAUCAAUUAUAAUCUUGCAAAUUGCAAUAAUGAAAGUGGGAUCAUAAGAUUAAAAAAAAUGAAACCUGCCACUCAAUCACAGGAAGAAAAAAACGCAAUAAAGCAAAUCCAAAAAUCAACGGAGAAUCAAAAUGUCCGGAGUGUCAGACGUUCACAUUAUUCAAGUCCAACUUGGCUGUGACAAGUUAUUUGUAUAAUAAAUAUACUAACUUUUGUCUUUAUUUUUGAGUAGAUGGUAUUUAGGAGUUUGGUCAAGGUUAGAUUGUAUAAGAUUUUUAAAAAUAAAGUUUUCAAUUUUAAUAUUCAGUCCGUCGGCUAAAGUCUAAAGGUGCGAGAUACGAAUGUAGUUAGGAAAUAUUUUAUAAAAUAAAAUUCAAUUUUUUUUUUUUAAAAACGGAGUGACCCGUCCGGGUUUCGCCCUGUCCCUAGUUACCAUCGAGAUGCAGAACGGGGCCUAACCCGUUCUCACCCUUACUGGGAGACUUACACUUUAUCAUUUGUAAAUUAAAUUAAAUAUUACACUUUAUCAUUUAUUAAAAAUUACCAAUUGUAUUUAGGGUGUCAACUAAAACUCAAGUCGGACUUGGUUGGUUAAACUCAGACUUAAAGCCUUACGAGCUUAAACUUGGACUUUUCAAACUCGAUAAGUUCGAGGUUAAAGAUAUUUUAGUAAUUAAAUAAAAUAUAGAUAAUAAUUAAUUGACAAAGACUGUUGAAUAAAUUAUAAAAAAAUUAAAUAAAAAUCUAAAUAUAGAUAUAGUCUUAAUUAUAGAUAUUUUUAUUAAAAAAAUUAGAUUUCAGAUUUUUUUUCUUUUCAAUUUACGGAAUUACAGGUGAAAUUUCAUGUUUGAGCCUGAGCCCGAACUUAUCAUUUUUGCUAACAAGCCGAGCCCAAGCCUGAACAAUUUCAUGACGAAGUGAGUCCGACACUACAAGCAAAAGCUCGGCUUGUUUGACACCGUAACUAAAUGUUGUGGUUUACCGUUGUGCCUAUCAUCCAUACAAUAUACUGAAAUUGUUUAUAACAGAUACGAUUUAGCUAACAUAUCAUCCAUACCCUUGUGUAUUGGAAGUUUGAAACGCAAUUACCAGAAGGGCCCGGUCCGAACACCUUAAUUCGUCAAUGCAUCAACACGCUGAUGAAUGUUCGAAAUAUGCACCACCUUCAAUUCCCUUUCCACCACUCGUUCACGAACAAAAUUGUAAUCGAGUCAUACAUGCUUUAUUUUCGUGUGAAUGGCCGCUACUCACAAAUUAUGUUGCUCCCAAAUUAUCGCUCCAUAGAGUUGUCAGAUGCAUCACCUGAAUGCCAAGUUCCUUAAGCACCAAUUUGAGCCGGUCUAUAUCCGCCGUGGUGUUUGUACGUUAUACUCUUGAACUUCGCCCCGGUGCUUGACCUAACCACUUUUUGCUGCUACACGGACUUCCAAUUGAUCAACGUGUCACCAACAUAAAUCAUGUAACACGUUUGACUUCGUCGGCGUCGCAAAACGCAUUAAUUUGAAAUCUACCAAUGCCUUUUAGCACAAUCCCGUAAUCUUGAGUACCGGAGUAUUAUAAUAUCUAUUUCAUAUUUUCAUCAUCAACCAAUGCUUUGGGCGUGAGGAUGAAACGAAUUGUGCCAAUUUGCUAAUACAAUACACAAUAUCGGGUCGUAUUAGUAGCAAGUAUUGAAGUGAACCCACUACUCUUUGAUAUUCUGUCGAAUUCUCGAUGAGAUCCUUCUCUGAAAAUAAGUUUAAAUUCGGCCCCAUGGGAGUAGACGACGGUUGCAUGUUGUCCAGAUUGGACCUCUAGAGUAGAUUUACUAAAUACCUUUGUUGAUCUAGGUAUAUAGAUUUUCCUAAUCGCCUAACCUGGACUUUGAGGAAGUAUAAAAAUGUCUAUCCCUCUUCUGAGAAAAAGUCGAUUUUAAAAAUGUCUAUCCCCAUUCAGGGAAAAGUCGACUUCAAAAUGUCUAUCCCCCUCCUGGGAAAAAGUCGAUUAUAAAAAUGUCUAUCCCCCAUCUGGGAAAAAGUCGAUUAUAAAAAUGUCUAUCCCCCAUCUGGGAAAAAGUCGAUUUCAAAAUGUCUAUUCCCUUCCUGGGAAAAAGUUGACUUCAAAAAGUCUAACCCCAUUCUUGGAAUCGACUUAAAAAAGUCUAAGCCCAUUCUUGAGAAAAAAGUCGACUUCAAAAUGUCUAACCCAAUUCUUGGGAAGAAAUCGACUUCUGGAGGAGCUUUUUCCUGAAGGCUGAGGAACUCGACUUUUUUGAAGAAAAGUCGAGUUUAGGGCCUUGGUCGGGUCAUGAGAUGGAGAAGCAGUCUCCCUUCAGAGGAGUCAACUUUACUCUGGGAAAAAGUCGGACCCUUUUUUCAACAAAAGUCGACCUUUAGCCGGGUGAUUUCCGGACGCGGCUCCCUGGCUGGCGACUUGGGGAAAAAGUCGAAACCUCUUUUCCAAAAGUCAAGGAGCUUUUGUCGUGAGUAUUUUUGAAUCACAGACGGCGCCAACUGAUGAGGGUGGAACCUGAUCAGUACUCCAAGACGCUUCCAACAAGCGCCAGGUGGGGAACUCCGCGGGGAAAUCAGGCUAGAACUCAAGUGCACAGAGCUUCGCUUCGCUAGGACUUCUUCACUCCAAAUGACUUGCCACCAAUGAGUGGGGGGUGCCUCCUAUUUAUAGGGAUUCUUAUGGGGGUAAUCUGGUCACUUGGGCAGUAAUCGCCUAACUACCUAACUGAUCAGAUCGGGUCCCAAGGUCGACUUUCUCGGGAUCCGACUUUCCUGGGAUUCGACUUUUCUCAGAAGUCGAUCCCAGGGAAGUCGAUCCUUGGGAAAGUCGAUCUUCCUAGGAGUUGACUUGGGACCUCCCCAAACCUAGAAUAGGUACCUCAGCUCAUCUCAGGCUAUCCGGACUUCUAGUUGAUGGUAAGUUGUGACCGGGUUCGAGAUACUGUAUCACCACUAGGAGAUUCAUUAAUCUCUUGGAAAACUAAGAAACAAAACACAAUAGCCAGAUCAUCAUGUGAAGCAGAGUAUAGAGCUAUAACUCAAAUAACAUGCGAAAUUGUAUGGAUUCAUCAGUUAAUGGAUGAAUUAAGAAUAAAAAUCAUAAAACCCACAGAUUUAUACUGUGAUAAUAAAUCAGCCAUACACCUAGCUAACAAUCCAGUCUUUCAUGAAAGGACUAAGCAUAUUGAGGUAGAUUGUCAUUUCAUAAGAGAAAUGAUAAAUCAAAAGAAAAUAUCAUUAAAGCAAUUUGGAACUAAGUUUCAACUUGCUGAUUUUCUUACAAAGGCACUUGGAGAAAGAGAAAUUACAGUUUUUCACUCCAAGCUUGGAAUAAUAAAUAUAUAUUCCAAAGCUUGAGGGGGGGGUAAAGGAAUUAGAGUGAUAACACACUGCUAAUUACAGUACUAAACACUGUAAAAUCUUAUAACAUCAUCUAAGGACUUAUGUGAAAUUAUCUGGAUGUUUUCAUUAAACAACAAAGUAUUACAAAGGUGGAAUAAAGAAUAAUAAAGGAAACACGAAGACAAAGGUGCAAAAGUUUAAAUAAAGAUAUUGGGCAAAUUCGUAUACUGGGUCAAGCAAUGGACUAACUUCAACUAACUAUUACAAUGUAAUUAGUCAAUUAGAUUAGUUAAUCUAACUAGUUAGUUGAGCAGUUAGUUGAUAAGAAGUCAAAGGUUAUAAAACUAAACAUUUUGUAUUUGGAAUUAUUCAAUUGAAUACAAUCAAAGCACUAAUUACAGUGCUAAUUGCGACUAAACUGUUUUCGUAUUAACGGUCAUCCAAUUGAUCGUUGAUACAGUUAACCCUCGAUUUCUUCCCUCUUUGCGCAUUCCUCCAUUCUCCCACAGGGAUUCCGGCGAGCGCUCUUCAGUCCAACUUCCAGCAUCGCCAUUCAGUCACUUAACACAAUGGAUAUGUCUCCAACAGUUCUAGAAAGAAAAGCCAGUUUAGAUGGAGCAUUGAAAGUAGCGGAAUAGCCACUUAGCAUCACCAUAACUAUUGACAUGGGAAUCCGAUCUUCCGAAGUUUCUUGCAAAUACAACAAUCCUAUCUCAAUACAUCUCGGAGCUUCGUUCAUUGGAUAAUUAUUGUCCAUUGUAGAAUCCACUAUGUUUGAUAUUGACUUUUUCGGCCAUACCUAUAUUUAGAUAAAUAUUAUUGCAAUUUUCAAAUUAAAUUACUUAUAAAAGGAUAGAAAUUAAAAUAAAUUUUAAAAAUUUGAUGUAAAUAAGUAAUUACAUAAGUUAGAAGAUCGUCGUCAUCAUCAUUAUUGUUAUUCAUUUGACCAGAAACAAGCUCUAGAAUCAAAAUUCCAAAAUUAUAUACAUCUGAUUUGCUUGAGAAAUGAUCUCUCUUAACAUAUUCGGGAACCAUGUAACCACUGAUACAUACAAAAGAAUAAGUAAUCAUAGAUAGUUUAAUUUCAUAAUUUAUAUAUAAAAUGCAAUUAAAUAAUGAAUUGAGGAAACUUACAAUGAUCUAUAUCAAACAUUCUAGCUAAUCCAAAACCCGCAAUUUUGGGAUUUAACUCUAAAUCUAACACGAUGUUACUAGCUUUCAAAUCUCGAUGAAUGAUCUUAACUUAUGAUUCUCCGGGAAGAUACGGUAAUCCUUUGGCUAAUCCUCUAAUAAUAUUAUACCUUUGUUCCCAAUCCAAUUGUUGCCUCUUGACGGGAUCUUAAUGUACUUAGCAUUGAUCAAUUAAUUCAUACACAUAUUAAAUCAUAAGUAUGUAAUUAAGUAAAUCAAAACAUAUCUUUCAAAAUCGUUUCAAGACUUUUGUUGUGGAUAUAUUCAUAAAU